rnacentral:rRNA from 1 species
AGCGAACGCUGGCGGCAGGCCUAACACAUGCAAGUCGAGCGCCCAGCAAUGGGAGCGGCAGACGGGUGAGUAACGCGUGGGGAUGUGCCCAAUGGUGCGGAAUAACCCAGGGAAACUUGGAUUAAUACCGCAUGUGCCCUUCGGGGGAAAGAUUUAUCGCCAUUGGAUCAACCCGCGUCUGAUUAGCUAGUUGGUGAGGUAAAGGCUCACCAAGGCGACGAUCAGUAGCUGGUCUGAGAGGAUGAUCAGCCACACUGGGACUGAGACACGGCCCAGACUCCUACGGGAGGCAGCAGUGGGGAAUAUUGGACAAUGGGCGCAAGCCUGAUCCAGCCAUGCCGCGUGAGUGAUGAAGGCCUUAGGGUUGUAAAGCUCUUUCGCCGGUGAAGAUAAUGACGGUAACCGGAGAAGAAGCCCCGGCUAACUUCGUGCCAGCCGCCGCGGUAACAC